rnacentral:rRNA from 1 species
AGUGAACGCUGGCGGCGUGCUUAAUACAUGCAAGUCGAGCGAACAGAUGAGAAGCUUGCUUCUCUGAUGUUAGCGGCGGACGGGUGAGUAACACGUGGGUAACCUACCUAUAAGACUGGGAUAACUCCGGGAAACCGGGGCUAAUACCGGAUAAUAUUUUGAACCGCAUGGUUCAAUAGUGAAAGAUGGUUUCGGCUGUCACGUAUAGAUGGACCCGCGCCGUAUUAGCUAGUUGGUAAGGUAACGGCUUACCAAGGCGACGAUACGUAGCCGACCUGAGAGGGUGAUCGGCCACACUGGAACUGAGACACGGUCCAGACUCCUACGGGAGGCAGCAGUAGGGAAUCUUCCGCAAUGGGCGAAAGCCUGACGGAGCAACGCCGCGUGAGUGAUGAAGGUCUUCGGAUCGUAAAACUCUGUUGUUAGGGAAGAACAAAUUUGUUAGUAACUGAACAAAUCUUGACGGUACCUAACCAGAAAGCCACGGCUAACUACGUGCCAGCAGCCGCAGUAA